AGGACGAACGCUGGCGGCGUGCUUAACACAUGCAAGUCACGGGGGUCCCGCAAGGGAUAACCGGCGAACGGGUGCGUAACACGUGAGCAACCUGCCUUUGUGUGGGGGAUAGCCGGGCUAACGCCCGGGUAAUACCGCAUACGGUCAUUUGGGGGAGUCCCUAGAUGAAGAAACCUCCGGGGCACAGAGAGGGGCUCGCGGCCUAUCAGCUAGUUGGCGGGUAAUGGCCCACCAAGGCGACGACGGGUAGCUGGUCUGAGAGGAUGGCCAGCCACAUUGGGACUGAGAGACGGCCCAGACUCCUACGGGAGGCAGCAGUGGGGAAUCUUGCGCAAUGGCCGAAAGGCUGACGCAGCGACGCCGCGUGUGGGAGGACGCCGUUUCGGGGUGUAAACCACUGUUGCCCGGGACGAACACGCCUUUCGAGGCGCUGACGGUACCGGUGAGGAAGCACCGGCUAACUCCGUGCUAGCAGCCGC
rnacentral:rRNA from 1 species